rnacentral:rRNA from 1 species
UACGUAGGGGGCUAGCGUUGUCCGGAAUCAUUGGGCGUAAAGCGCGUGUAGGCGGUUCGGUAAGUCCGCUGUGAAAGUCGGGGGCUCAACCCUCGAAUGCCGGUGGAUACUGUCGGACUAGAGUACGGAAGAGGCGAGUGGAAUUCCUGGUGUAGCGGUGAAAUGCGUAGAUAUCGAGAGGAACACCUGCGGCGAAGGCGGGUAGCUGGGCCGACACUGACGCUGAGGCGCGAAAGCCAGGGGAGCGAACGGG